UCCACUGGCGCAACUACGGUGGUUGGGACAGCGCAUCCAACCGUAGUGGAGGGACUUAGGGCUUCGUGACCAUCUAAUUCCGUUGCGGUCUUCAAAGUUCAUUGAGCCACCUCGGCUUUUUGAAUUGUUGGCUCCACCAUGACUUGUAGCUCCCUCGACUCCUCUGUGGUUCUUCAGCCCUCUGACUCUGCCUGGGUCCCUUGUCCCUCCAGCUUCACCUUGGUCAGGAGUCACCCUGGUGAUGCCACCAUCUUUCAGGCUACGGCUACACCUCAGCCCUCUACCCCUUUGUCUCCAUCAAGCUCCUCAUUCCCUCCUUUGUCCUCUAUCCCACUGUCUCAGUCUUCCAAACCCCCAGCUCCACCUCGGUCCCCCGACCCUAAGGUUCUGCCUUGGUUCUCCAAGCCUGCGAUGUCGCCCUGGUCCUUCAUUCACCCUGGUCUACAAUAUACCUGACUCCUCCUUGGUCUGCAGUUUCCCUGGCUCCACCAUGGUCAACAAUACUGAGGGCUCCGCAGUGGAUCUUUAAACCUCCAGCAUUGUCAGGGGAGGUGGACUUAUCAAGUACAGCAGUUCUGCCAUUGCCUCCUUCGCCAGUCCCCCAGUUUUUCCUUCCUCCACAGGCUCCUCCUUGGUUUCUUCCUUCACCAGUUCCUCCCUUGAUUCUUUUCUGAUAGGAGUCCUGAUCCUCCACCCCCUUAUGAAUAAUAGUACCUCCUCCUGCCACUUCAGUGUUCAUUUUUUUAUUUUAUUUUAUUUUUUUAUUUUUUUACAGCACCGGGAGGAGGGGAGGGAUGUAAUGUAACUCUUAGCCUGAUCUGUUUCUGUUUGCGUUGCAAAGGACUUUUAGUUUGUGUUGUAUGUCAUGGCUGCAUCAUGAUCCACCGCUCCUUUUCAGGACCUGACAUUGACUGUUGUAAGAAUUUUGUUAAACAGAUGAAAAAUUUGACAUUUUUAAAUUAUACCCUUUAAGUUCUCAGAUUAUUAUGAAGACUUCAUUCAUCCAUUGCAAUGUUUGUUCCAGUUUCUAAUGUACUAUUGUAAAAAAAAAAAUCAGAAAUAUUCAGCUGUAAUUCUUUCAAAUAAUGAUAAUCAGAUAUUAUUAGAACUCAUCUCAUUCUUCAUUUAAAUAACUGAUGUAUUGUGCUUGUUUAUAUUUAUUUCCUUGUUUAUUAGGUUACGUUUGUGAGUUUCACCUCACCUCUUGCAGUUGCAAAAUGGUGGCUCUACUGUGUGACAGAGUGAACCAUGCUUACCCACCCAACCUUCGUCACUUCGCAGAAACUAUUAACUCUUUUCUUGUUUCACAGUGUGUCUAGACACAGCAACCCAGUCUCAUGAGAAUUCGUAAUAAUUUGUACGAGAUCAUACAAAUUCAAAACUAAACCUGACCAUGGUUGUAAUACGGAAAAACUAUAGAACUAUCGAAAAUUUAGUAAAAUCUUAGUAAUACUUUAUAAUAUCACACAGUUUUAGCAUCUUGUACAAACUAUUAGUCAUGAGAGUUGUCAUGAGAGUGUGUUGGAUACAUGUGACAAAUAGGUUUGCUGAUGUUACUGCAAUUAUCUGGAAAUUUACUGUCAUGUUUAACUUGGUUAAUAAAGUAAUGGUGGUGGUGGGGCGAUAAGUGUUGAAAAAAAGUGUACAAUGUGGUCAGAGCAAACUUGACUUCCUCUGCUGUCUGGUUCAGAGCUGCAGUAGACUUCAUCAUAAAUGUGUGGAGGGAACCAGGUGUCAUUAGAUUCAAUGGUUUUAUUCAUCCAGGAACAUGAAGAUCAUUCAGCUUCAGCUCUAUGUAUUAAUCUGUUGUCAAGCUGCAGCAGCAGAUCAACUAACUGAUUUGGGAUCAAAUGUGACCAUAAACUGUGAUCUUGAUGAUAAUGAGGUUUAUUGGAUUUUACUGAAAACACCAGAUCCUCCAACAGUGAUUCUACGAUCAACCUCAAUUCCAAAAGCACCUUUUUACUCAAAUAAAAAAUUCAGAAACAAAUAUUCACUGCAAUUUAAACAUCUGGUUAUAAAUAAUGUCACUGCUGAGGAAUUAGGAGUUUAUUACUGUAUGAACACAGACGCACCUCCAAAACUCAGCAACAGCACCAGACUGCACAUCACCGAACCAGUUCAACUAACUGAGUCAACUAAGUGUCACAAUCAUACAGCGGUGGAGUGUAUUGAUCAGAAUCAGACACAGUGGCAGAUUAUUAUCAUCAUAUCUGGUCUGAUGAAUGGGCUUCUGGUCAUCGUGCUGAUUGGACUAGUAAAGGAUUUUGUUGGAAACAGAAGGUCCACAGAACACUCACAACAUCUCAACACUGAUCUACAGCAGUCACAAGUUAUAGAAGAGUAUCAGGACCAGUUACAGUAUGCUGGGGUGGAUUUUUCCAAGCUACAUAGAAAUUUUCUGUUCAGCCAAGUCACCUAUGCUGCACUAAAGCUGGUAAAAUCAUGAACGUAUGCAUAUGAUGGACUACUUUUGUUCACUGUUUCUUGAAUUUUUAACCACAAACUGUUUGCCAGCUCUCAGCAAAGUGUGCCGGGGAUCCGCUGGAAUGUUUAGAGAAACAACUAAAACAAUAAGUUAAAAUGGACUAAACUUAAUGUGCUUUGAUUUAUCACUGCAUCAGUUAUUUUGUAUAAAAAAGUAAACAGCAUCAGUUAACUGACCAAAGGUCUAGGGGGUUUAAACAGCUGGUGGGUUUAUUGAAAAAAAAAGUAUAAAUAUUUUCUAUAUAGAAAAACAUUGUUCUUGUAUUUUAAACAUACUCCAUUAUUUUAAACUGAUACUGAAAAACAAACAAACAAACAAAAAAACAAUAUGAAUAACAUGUUUUCACGCUUCGUCCUUUUCAGGGGUCUGAGCAUGGUUCAUGUGAUUUUUGGCCCAUAUGUGAACACUCCAAACGAUCUUAGAACCUUUAUAAAUGAACCAAACCAAGACCAUCUCGGGAGGUGAUCUGGGUACGGUUCGCUAAAAAAAUCCAUUGUGUCCAUUGAGAACACAAAUCAGUCCGGGCUCACUUGAUUAUUCCAUUCAAAAAUUCCAAUGUUGUUUGGCCAUCAGAUGCCUCCAUACAAAUCGGCUGUUCAUCAUGGCUGUUUCUUUUCUCAGAUCUCUACAAUUUGUUCACAAUAUAGGCUACACUCGUUUACUGUAAUUUCAACCGCUUCCAAACUGUGUAGGAGGGACGCGGCUGCAUGCCUUGCCAGUUUUAACAUUUUUUGAUAUACGGUUUCACGAGCGCACACACCUAAAGUGCAUGCGCAAAAAAACAGCUGUCACAGCACGUGUACUAAACCAAAGAACUUAUAUUGACUAAACUGAAUUAUUUGUAGCGUCUUAUUGUGUUUAAAGUGCCAAAAACACACAAGUUCAGAUAAACAGUUGGUUUGGUCUUAAGUGAAUGUAAUCAUCUGGAAGAAAUCGUGUAUGUUCAGUAUAUUCAUUACUGGAUCCAUGCAUUACUGUAGUUCUUAAAGUGACAGCAGCUUAAAAUAAGAAUCGGUAGAAUCCGCAUACAUUUUAUUUAUACAGUGAAGAAUAUGCUUUUUUUCAUUUGAUUAUUCCAUUCCAUUCCAUUUUUUCCAUUAACAGUUUUAUUUAUCAAAAAUUAUCACACGUUUAAACAACAUUUACAUUUUUCCAUUAUUUCCAUUUCUUACUUGAAUGCUGUUUUUAGAUAUACCUACUGUACCUGGAAAAUUUAAAGCAAUUUCAUUUGCAUCUUUCUUUUAUUAUAUUUGUCCUAUUGUUUUUUGUUUUUUUUUCUAUGCUGAUGUUAGCAUUGUCUUCUGUAAUAAAACAUUAUUCAAGGAAAACAAUUCAAAAUAAAUGUUAUUUACAAAGGUAUGUGUGAUAUAGUGCAAGAAUAUGGAUGUACUGUUGUAUUGAUUUUUUUUUUUAUAUUUUUGUGCAAAAAAUAAACAACCUAGAGUUAAGCUCAUUCAACAGCAUUUGUAGCAAUGCCAUUUAAAAUAAUAAUAAUAAUAAUAUUUAAUAAUAAUAAUUCUUUAAAAACAAAUAUCUUGGUUAGUGAGGCACAUACAAUGUAAGUGAAUGGCAUUAAAUUUUGAAGGUCAUAGGGUCAGCCAUCAAACACUGAACUGGACUAGAUCCAAAAAGCAACAGUAUGAACACAAACAGGUCUGAGACCACAUUCCUACUUAAGUGGACCAAAAAAGGAUCCGAGUCCUCUUUCAGGGACAAGGACAGUGUGAACGUAAAGAGAACUGGGUCCUUUUUCACUUGGUUCACCUCCUGUUCCACUUAAAGGAGUCUGAGUUUGGUUCUUUUAAAGAGGACUCAAGUGUGAAAUGUAUUUAAGACUGU